AUCAAUCAAACUGAAAAAGUAAGUUUUUGGUUUCUCUAUGGAUAUCUAUGAACGCGUGUGAGAUCUUAAUCGGUUAAUUGGAAUUAUGGUGAGUGAGAAUGGAAAAAGUAGUGAAGAUCAUCUGAGCAUUACUGUCUAUUUUAUACUAAAUGGUUAUAAUAUAAUGUGAAAGUUUUCAACUUUUAAACUAACUUUUCAAACUAAACUGUUAAAUUCUGGAGUUUUCAAUUUGAUUCUGUUUGAUUGUCUCAGGGAAACUGAUCGCGUGGCUGGUUAAGGAAGUGUUAUCGAUACGUUCGAUAAUAACAAACCGGUAGGCUUAUUUGAUUGGUUCGAAUCGCCGCAAUCGAUAGAAGUGACAGCACGUGCCAUAUACCUGCGCGCUUGUAUCAUUUCCUUGACCAAUUGUCGACGUGGACAUUGUCUAUCUUCCUUUAUUCGCGUGUAUAAAACGAACAUAGCUGAGUUGUCUUAAACGACAAAUUAAUCAACUUUUGCCGUCACACUGACAUUUUCAAGAGGAACCGCUAAAGAAAUGAGCAUAAAACCGUUAAAAACGGGCGUAAUUUCGAAAAUCCGAAGCUCCUCGGGUAUUAGCAGUGUCGCCCAAUGUGUUUACGAAUUGGUGUGCAACAGUCUGGACGCAAAAUCCACCGCGGUAGCGGUUCGAAUAAAUCUCCUAACGUUCCGCAUUCAGGUGGCCGAUAACGGCUGUGGCAUAUCCAGAGAGGGCCUGGAACUGGCGGGUUCCAGAUACGCCACCAACAAAUGCCAAACCGUCAAAGACCUGGAAAAACACCUGAAAACCUACGGGUUCCGAGGCGAAGCCCUUGCAAACAUCGCGGAAAUGUCGCGCAGUCUAAUCAUCACAUCGCGCCGGAGAGACUGCGAUGAAACCUUCACUAAAGUUCUGUCCAGAGAUGGAUCCAGUAAAGUUACACCUGGAAAAUCCAGGCCCAGUGUGGGCGCCACUGUGACCGUCCUCGAUUGGUUCAGUGCCGCGCCAGUGAGGCAGCAGCGCAUCGUGCCGGAGCUCGAGCUGGAAGAAGUGAAGCAGCAGCUGGAAAGGUUGAUAGUAAUCAACCCGGGCACGUCGUUUAGCUUGCGGAACGACGCCACUGGGCUGCUGCUGCUCAACAGUCCGAAGCACUCCGACAUAGUGAGCGCCUUCCACCAUCUCUACCCCCAAGUGGGGCGCAGCUUCAGCCUCCUGAAGGUCUCCAAAGGCAAACUCUCCAUCGAGCUGCUAAUCGAAAAGGAGCUGGAAGCUGGCAGGCAAUGGCAGCUGGUCUACGUGAACAAACGCCCCGUGCAAAGCGCCAAGAUCUCCAAACACUUUCACAGGGGGUUUCUGCACUCCAGCAGAUCCCCCGCCUUUAUUAUGAACAUCAAAUGCCCCCAGGCAUACGUGGACAUUCUGCAGGAGCCCCACCGAAGCGAAGUGGAGUUCACCUGCUGGGACCAAGUGCUGGCCUGCCUGGACAAGCUCCUGCAAACCUUCCUGGGCGUGGAAGCUCCCGAAGCCCCAGCCGCUUCCAAGCCAAAGCGAUUCAGCAGUGGCGUGUCUCAGCUAGUAGGGGCCGUUCAAGCCACCGCCUACAAGAGGAGGCGAAAUGAGGUAACGCAAACCACUGGCGACUAUGCCAUUGAAGACUCUCUGCCUGCCAAAGCCUCACGGCCCCUGGUGGGCGAGCUGAAGCCCCUGGAAAUCAACUUGGUGCCCAAAAGAACCUUCGACCAGCGGUCCGUCUACUCCAAACUCAACACGGACGAAAACCGGGGCAAAAACCUGAUUCUGGACAUGUUCCUCAAGUCCACUCAGGUGUUCCAGGACGCCUCCCAAAGCUCCGCUGAGGAAUCCAAUUGUGUUCCAGAUAACCACGUAGAGGGCCCUGAUAGGGGCGUGACCACCACCAUCAGCGUCAAUGUGAAAAGGAGAAGAACUGGGGGCGAAGAGAGUGUUGAGAAAGACCAGCCUAUGAGGGACAAGUCGGUCCAGACCAGUCAAAAGCGCAGCCAGUUGCAGCCGAGGAGCUUCCAGAGCGAGCUGAUGGCUCGCCUGGAUCGAUGCUCUCUGGACAUAGACGACGACUACACCAUAAUGGCCCAAAGCCACCGCUAUGCGUUGGUGAGGAAGGACAAUGAGGCUGCUCUGGAUGAGCCGCCGGCUUUAAAUCCGGUGAGACUUUGCCGCUGCCAGCAAGGGGCCGCCAACAUGUUCAACUUCCAAGCCCUCGACCCAGACUGGUGGCCCGCAGCUGCGCAAAGUAAAGAAGAAAUCUAUGCCAAUCCGCCCACCAAGAACAAUGAGGUGGCCACUCUGCUGUUUCGGGGCCUCAAGAAGCAACCUUCGGUCAAAUCCACUUGGAGGCGCUUCUGCACGCAAAGCCCUUACUUUGGAAGCGCCAGAAACAAUCCCAUGCCAGAAACCAGCUCUGCAUAUUUCCAGCCAACGCAAUUUCCCCGAGCCUCCUCCACCAUCUCGGCGGAAGUGGCGCAGCUGCUGAACACGAAAAAUGCAAUCCGAUUCAAAAAGCCUGCAAAUGUUACGCCUUAUCCACCCCGGAAAUCGAGUAGAAACCCUAACGAACACCCUGCUCAGAACUGGUUCAACUUUAGCAGCUCGCCGGACAUUUUCGAAAAUUCGAACGAAAUGUGCGACUUGGAAGAGUUCGGGCUGAUGCGCACUAGAACCAAAACUCCCAGCCCCCACGGAUCAGAAAGACUGGGCGGGGCAGAGCCAACCAGCUCGCACCCCUUGGGGGUUGAUGAUCGCAGCUUGCACGAGCAGAGCAGCUUCAUCGUGGACUCGCAGAACCAAUGGCAGAGAUGCGCCACCAAACAGGGCCACAGCUUCUUCGUCAACCGCAGAACUGGUAAGAGUGGAUUGAACGGAUCGUUCCACUUUAAGAAAACUCCAAACGUUGCAGGCAUGGUGUCGUCCAAGCCCCCGGUUUGCACGCCAACGAAUUUCGCUUUUGAGGAGCGACUGGACUUUGUGCCCAAAGGAAUGUCGCCGGUUCUGAACCGGCAUAAAGAAGUCGAUCGCGUGCUGAGCCAGAACGCCAAACACAAGCUCCACUCUCUGAUCCUGGAAGGAUACGAGAAUGAGCUGAUGAGCGUCAAGUGGCGCAACUGUCCUCACAAAGGUAAUGGUUUAGAGAUGCGACUAAACACUCUUCAAAAUUAUCAAUCCUUUCCAGAUCAGCGAGCAUUUUUUGAGGAAAUCUACAAGGAAAAGUGCAAACGGCACGAGGAAUGCAUCCCACGGGUGGCCAGCAUGAAGGCCCAAAGAAACAAAGUGAGUUUCAGCAGGGGCAUGUUCGAAAGCCUCGAAGUCGUUGGGCAGCUGGACCAAAAGUUCCUGGUGGUGCAUGAAACAUCGGAAAACUUGCUGGUGUUAUUUGAUCAGCAUGCGGUGGACGAGCGCAUUCGCGUGGAGAGGUUCCUGAAAGGUCUCUCUUUCCCGGACGUCUCCAGGACGAACCAACCCAGUAUUUUUGGCCAUUGCAGAAUACAGAGGUCUGAAGGCGACUCACAAGGAGAAACUGACCAUUUUCCUGCCUCACAACGAUCUGGCUCUGUUACAACGACACUCGGACUACCUGGACUCCAUGGGGCUGGGGGUGGAGUUCUUCACCAACGGUCUCCACAUCACCCACAUCCCCGUGUGCAUCCAGGAGAAAUGCGCCGCGCAAGCAAGUCCCUCAGGCAAGCCCUAAAAAAUCACACACAGAUAACAGAAAAAAUUCCAGAUGGAAGGCCUGAACAAUCUCCUAAACUCCCUCCUCAAGGAGGCUGUGGACUUUCUGAGGACGACCAGAGGGUCCACUGGCAUGUCAAUGCCGAAGAUUAUUCAGGACGUUGUCAACCUGAAGGCUUGCAGAGGCGCAAUUAAGUUCGGUGACACGCUGUCGCGAAGCCAAUGUGGCGCAUUAUUGAGGGACUUGGAAAGGUGCCAACUGCCCUUUCAGUGCGCCCACGGAAGGCCCACUCUAACCCCAAUUGCCACUUUGCACAAGCUGCAAAGCACUCAACUGCCUCCAAGGCCAAGCCUAAGGAAACUGUUGAGGGUUCAUGUUGAUCUAUACUGAGUGGUGGAAGUUUCUUCGAAUUUUGAAAUAAGUACACUUAAAGGAGUGGAACUAGGACUUGCAGGUCAGUGCACAACUGUACGUUUGUUUGCCAUAAAUUUGUAAUAUUUUUAACUAGACUCGACACAUAUACAUAUUGCCAAACUUUGUAUAUAGAUAGGUCAUCGUAACAUUAUAUACAUAACACAGAUAUAUAGUUCUAAUACAACAGCUGAAAUGGUGUGACAGACUGAAACUGGGCCCUCUGCGUAUCGAUAAAAUGUCUUUAUUAUUUACAAACAAUAAUAAUCGCUCUUAAAUGGACCUUUGUUAGACACUUUGUGUUUCGAUUAAUUAUGGGUAGCAUUGGUGCAAAAUCCAUUAUCCCUGCAGACUAUCGGCUAGUCGGCCCG
rnacentral:misc_RNA from 1 species